UACGUAGGGGGCGAGCGUUGUCCGGAUUCAUUGGGCGUAAAGCGCUUUAAGGCGGUUCGCUAAGUCGGGUGUGAAACCUCCAGGCUCAACCUGGAGACGCCACUCGAUACUGGCGUGACUAGAGUUCGGUAGGGGACCACGGAAUUCCUGGUGUAGCGGUGAAAUGCGCAGAUAUCAGGAGGAACACCAGUGGCGAAGGCGGUGGUCUGGGCCGAUACUGACGCUGUAGAGCGAAAGCGUGGGGAGCAAACAGG
rnacentral:rRNA from 1 species